ACCGCCUUGCAUUCCUUUUCUUCCUCAACAGUUUUUUCUCUAAAUCUUUUACUCUACCAGUCAGGUUGGAUAUGACUGUCAAUUGUUCUUUCCCUGCUUCCAUUAAUUUCUCCACCAUUUCCCUCAUUUUUUCAUUCUCUUCAACCAGCUUUCUAUCACUUUCCACCUCUAUCUCUUGCCCCUUGACAGCAGAGGAUGCAGGUAACAAAUCUCCCUUCUCCUCGUCAUGCUUAAUUGGAUCGACUUGUACCUCGACUACAAGUUCUCUAUCAGAAGUUUCCAGCCCGUUAUGCUGAUUAGCCACUUUGUCAGAGCCACUCACCAUCUCCACCACACGGAGAUCUUCCUCUUCUUGUAUGAUUUUUUCAUUUCUAUCCCUUGCUGUCAGCUGGGCUACAUUAUCCUGAUCUUCUCCAAUUUGCGCAUCUUCCGCCUUAGAUAAAUUCUCUGCCUGCAGUAACGUGGGGACUCUUUGCAUUUCCUCUGGGAGAGAUUCCUCCAUCUGCUUAUUGUCCUUGUUGAACAACAAUACUUGUGUUUUUUGGGCAUCUCCUUCAGCAAUUGUGGGGCAACCAUCUUCCUUCUCACUAGCAACCUCAGGCCAGCCAUUUGGUUCAGCAACAGAUUGUUUUUCAUCAACCGCUGCCAGCCUCAACUCGCGUUGAAUUAGAACUUCCUUAUCUGGUGAAGUUGCCUCGGUCUCUCUUGGUCCUUCACUGACCAGUUCCGUUGGCUGCUGUUCUGCUCCAGGUAUACUUUGGACCCCACCAUCCAAUGAAGAUGCAUCAAUUGUCGAUUGCCCACCCUCGUGUAGUUCCUGUGGCUGCAGCUCUAAGGCAUUAAUGAAAGCUUCACACUCCACAUCUUCAUCAGCUGAGACUUCGUUAUCCUGAAUUUCAGCUUGUGCGUGUUUCUCAGGUUCUGCAUCAUCAACUACUCCUAUAGGCAAUUCUUUCAGUAAAUUCAUUUCUGGAAUUUCUUCCAGCAAGUUCAUCUCAUCAAUUACCGCAACUGAAGAAGUCAAAUCACUAGAUACAUUUGAUUCCCCCUUUUUGUUCUGUCUCACACCUAUCAUAUUUGUUUGACUUUGUUCCUCAGCAGAAGGAGCAGAUUCCUUGUCAGCAAUUUCUUCUGCCACUUCUUCUGUUCUGCUCUCGUGGGGACUAUUAUCAAUAUGUUUUGAUUCAUUCACCUCAAAUGGUUCAGAUUUUUCCUCAUUAAUUCGGUCACACCAUAUGUUUUCAAUUUGAACUCCUGCCUUCUCCUUAGAACCACUCUUCUCUGACUGCAGUUGGAACGUUUGCUCAGUCUCAGAAGACGCAUCAUUUUCAGCCAUUAGCGCCUUCCCAAACUGGAACUCUCCAUCACCAUUAUCCUCUGGUUCUUCUGAAUGAUAUUCUAGCUUCGUAAAUCCUGGUAAAAGAUCACUUUCAGGUUUCUUCUGCGCCUCUGAGAAGACAAGGGGAGGUUUUGAAGCUUCCGUACCCUGGGUGUCAGACCCUACAUCCAUCAUUUGACAAACAUCAUUAUUUGGAUGUUCUGCUACAUCCCCAUUUUGUUCUCCAUCAAUGCCUGUGAUGUUGUUAAGACCAAUGGAACGAUUUUCAGAAGAUUUAGCUUUAGCAAGUAAAUCAAGCUUUUCUUGCAGUUCUACAAGCUCCCUUGCCAAAGAUUUCCUAACAUCUCUGAGACUUGGGUGCAAGCCCUGUUGGGACAUUUAAAGCAGAAAAAGAAGAGGGAAAAAAAAACAAGAAUCAGAAACUUCCUGCACUUGAAAGAAAAAAGAAAUCACACAAUUUCAAAAGCAGAAUCGUAGUGCCAAAGCCAUAAGCACCAUGUCAAAGCGUUAUAAAAAUAGUUAUACAUAAUGUUUAUGCAGUUAAAAUUAAUAACAAAUGUAUUCAAUGAACCUGCACUGUGUAAAUUUAUAUGGCAUAUAUAUGCUAGGAUGAGCCACCUUGUUCACGUGCACUGUGCCAAUUUAAAUAAGUCAAAAUGUCAUUAAAUGUUACUUAAUGCUUCCAUCAAAAACACAAAUGGAACAAAAUUGAUUAAAAAAUUCUUGUAAUCUUUUAGCAUGACCCUUUUCUUUUCCUUUCAGACACAAAUGAUUACUACACAUGACAUAUGGUGUUUUUGUCUAAUGUGAACCGAAAUUGAUAGUAACCAUACCUGGAUAGUGUCCAAUUUUAGGAGAAGGCUCAUUACCAUUUCUCCAAUCACUGCCCUCUGCCUCUCAUCUUUCUGAAGAUCAGGAGAGGACUCUAAACCACAAAUCUUAUUCCUAACCUCAGCCACCUGCUCACGGACUUCUUCAAUUUGCUUCAGUUUCUUCAGCGGUUCCCAUUUUCUGACUUCAAACCCACGAUAAGCAGACUGGAUACGCACAGCAGCUUCUUCUUCUAAUAGUUCUUUUUUAUCUUCUUUUGAUUUCCCCUUAUCAUUUGCUUUCGCAGUUGCCAGCUUGUCUGCAUCUCUUAAUCCUUUAUCCUCUUUCAUUACGCAGUUCUCAUCAUGUUUUCCCAUCUUCUCUACAGUUAGCCUACUGAAGGCCUCCUUUUCAGAAUCAACCGAAGAAAUAACUGGGAACUGUUGCGUUUGAUAGGCAUUCCUCUGUUCUUCAUCUUUGUCUUCACUGGUCUUACUUUGCAGAACAUUUAUAACUUUGACCUCGUUUUUCUUCCCUUCUGCUUCCAUCCUGCUGCUUGAAGUGCUUUCCUGAGCUUGCAAGUACUGAGAAUUCUUUGAUUUGGAGUCCAGUGAAAUGGGAGCCGUGGGAGUGUCCGUUGCUGUCUCUUUUGAUUGUCUUUUGAAACCAGGAGGACUGGGAGACGUUGAGGUUGUGUUACCAUUCUUCUUCCGAGGUAAGGGAUCAACUCUUAGACAAACAGGAGGUAACUUUGAUGUUUUUGGAGGGGACGAUGACUGCCUUUUUGUCCUAGAUCCAGUAGCUUUUCCCAUAACAUUAUCUCCUUCAUUUUUCAAAGAAACAUCUCUUCCUCUCUGCUCAACAUCUUCAGAGUUGUCCUUCUUCUUAGGUUCUUCUACUUGUUUCACAGGAAUGCUUCUUUGUUUUGAACUUUUUUCCUUCAACUCCAAACCCACCUGGCUGCCAGAAUUCUUAUUAGUCACUUGAGAUUUAUUAAUGCUAUCAUCAUUAUUGGGGCAUCUCACUAGGUGUAACUGGCCACUGGAAGCUGGCUCUUCCACAGACAUUGGAGCGGUGUGCAUCUCCACAUCUUUCUUCUCAGCCUCACCCUGUCUGUUGUGAAAAGGCAUCCAGAUAAUGGGAAAUGGAAAUUGCCUCAUGAUGUCCUCAUUCUUCUGAUCUGCAGUACUCCCAUUUUCACUUGGCAUAAAAGAUUGAAGACUUCUUUUGUCAAGUGGAAACCAGCUACUCCACACUCCAGGAUCUUGUUCAGAGAACUUUAGAAUCUGAGGAGGCUUCUUAUCUACAGAAGCCAUCUCAGAUUUCUCCUCCUUAGCCGCAUCCGCUUCCAAAGACUUUCUAUGCUCUUCAUUCUUCAAAUACUCGGGCGGAAUCCAAAAAACUGGAUAUGGAUGAUUUUUCAAUGGAAAUGGAACUAAAAAGCCAUCCCUAUUAUUUUCAACAUUGGGAUCCUGCUCUUCAAUCCUCACACUUCCACCAUUUCUCUGGUCGUGUGUGUGGUUGCGGCACCCACAACAGUGAUAAUCAUUAUCUCUGGGCUUGUCAAAUUCGUACCUAGGUAGCUCUCUUAAAUAAUGCGGUGGAGGGGCAUAAUGUACAGGGACAGCAUCAGUAUAUGGAGGAUGAUAGCCACAACAAUGGAACUGUGGUGAUGCAAAAUGAAGACAAGGUCCAUAACUAUAAUAACCAGGGAAGUUACCCUCGCGGAAAUAGGGGUAGCACGGAACAGAAUAACCAAAAUUGUUAGGGUAAGGCCAAGGAUGAUUGAUGACCACAGGCUUGGAUGGAUCAACGUUUGCAACAGGUGGAACAGCCUCAAAGCUUGGAUAAUAGUUCUGAUUGAAAUGCAUUUGGUUCCCCUG
rnacentral:lncRNA from 1 species